UGGCAACAGAGCGAGACUCCGUCUCAAUAAAAAAAAGAAAAAAGAAAGAAAAACAAAGACUGAGGGAUGGGAGGAAUGGGAAGAUGAUGAUCAAAGGGUACAAAAUCUCAGACAGGAGAAAUUUUAUUUUCUCUUUUUUGAGUUCUAUUGCAUAGUGUGGUGAAUAUUCAAAAUAGCUAAGAGAGUAAAUUUCAAGUGUUCACACCACAAAAAGUUAAGUAUUUGAGGUGAUGGCUGUGUUAAUUACCUUGAUUAAAUUAUUCUACAUUGUAUUCAGAGGUUAUAAUAUCACUUUGUACCCUAUAAAUUUAUGUCAUUAUAAAUUUUCAAUUUAUAAUUAAGAAAAAACACUUGGGGCCAGAUUAGCAUCAGAAGUGAUUUUUUAAAUAUUUACAAGAUACAAUACAUUUCAUAUAGUGUAUGACAUUUCAUAUAGUGUAAGAUAAAUAAAAGCUAUUUAUAUCUUAGAAAAAAAAAGACCUUGCUUCCAUUCCAUGCAUCUUUUUAAGUGUUAAAAUAUAAAUGUUGAGAACAGCGCAAGAUGGCCAACUUUGUUGAUUGUGUGUUGGAUGAGGAGAAGGUACGCAUAGCUGCUGAAUUCAUCACUCAUGCACCCCCAGGGGAAUUUAAUGAAGUAUUCAGUGAUGUUUGGCUACUACGUAAUAAUGACAACCUCCUCAGGGAAAGGGCAGAACAUGCAUUUGCUCAUUACAACGUGAAUCAGUUCACACCUGUGAAGAUAGAAGGAUAUGAAGAUCAGGUCUUAAUUACAGAGCAUGGUGACCUGGGCAAUAGCAGAGUUUUAGAUCCAAGAAACAACUUUUCCUUUAAAUUUGAUCACUUACAGAAAGAAGCAAGUGACCCCCAGCCAGAACAAGUAGAUGGAGGUCUGAAGUCUUGGAGAUAAUCCUGUGACAGUGCUUUAAGAGCCUGUGUGAAAGACCGUUAUUCCAACUGCCUCUGUAUUGUUUAUGCUAAAACUAUCGAUGGGCAACAGACUAUUAUUGCGUGUAUUGAAAGCCACCAGAGUCAGCCUAAAAACUUAUGGAAUGGUCGUUGGAGAUCAGAGUGGAAGUUGACCAUCACACCACCUACAGGCCAGGUGGUUGGAGUGCUUAAGAUUCAGGUUCACUAUUAUGAAGAUGGCAAUGUUCAGUUGGUUAGUCAUAAAGAUGUACAUGAUUCACUAACUGUUUCGAAUGACACACAAACUGCCAAGGAGUUUAUUAAAAUCAUAGAGAAUGCAGAAAAUGAGCGUCAGACAGCAAUUAGUGAAAACUAUCAAACAAUGUCAGAUACCACAUUCAAGGUCUUGCGCUGGCAGCUUCCAGGUACCCACACCAAAAUCGACUAGAACAAGAUACUCAGCUACAACAUUGCCAAAGAAAUGCAGAAUGCCUAAAGGCUGAAUGUAGGAUUCUUCACUAUGUGGAAAGACAAGGAUUCAACGUGUGGUCAUAUGAUAAAUAAGUGAUUUAUAAACAAGAGUGCUAUUUUGCUAGAGCUUUUAAAGUUAACCAGUUUUCUAGCCUCAUGGAAUACUGUUGAACCUAUAAGCAUUGUCUUGAUUCUUUUGUGUUCUCUGCCUUGCAAUUUUCUGUUAUUGCUAUAUCCAAGUGUAAGUCUUUUUUUGUUGUUGUUAAUUCUGGCACAUUUUAUGUUGGAGAGAGAGAUCUAUCCUAGAGACAUUUUACUGUUGAAAAAAGUUUCCUAGCCAUGAAGCCGUGCUGCUGAUUUAGACAAGGUAUUAUGGUCAUUACUUUCUACCCCAUCCUUCCAAGCACUUCUGGUACUUCAGUGGUUUUCACUGACCCACCAGCACCUAAAGAGGCUAUACUACAAUCUAUAGCUAAAUGGAAGACACGUUCAUCCUUCUCCCUCUGACUGCUUUGAUCAUCAUUUAUUGCAUCUCAGAACUGUAAUUUUCGAAAGUUUGGAUUGGGACUUUUCAGGUUCUUUUUGGAGGGCAAAGGAAGUGUCAGCUUCUCUGGGGAACUUGUUUUUAAAUCCAAAGACUUGAACCAUGUUCCCUGCACAUGAACAUGUUUGCUUUUAUCCCUUCUCUCAUUGUCUCCUUCCCAUCUUAGUGCCAUUGUAGUUAUAGACAUCUGCAUUUUUAGAAGAGUUUUACCCAUUUAUUUUUUUAAACAGUCAAGAACUACUGAAAUACUGUGGAUGUAGAGUAUAAAACUUGAAAAAUGCAGAUGUUGAGGGAAUAAUAGGUAUCUUGUGCUUUAGUACUUUGUGGCAGGAUUGCACUAUAAGCAAAUGAAUUAAACAGCUAUGUAAUCAUAAACAAAAACUAAAAAUGAACCAAAAUGAAAAGGAUAAAUUCCAGGCAGUAUCUUUCUAUUGUAACCUGUUAUUUAAGUAAAUGCUAGUGAUUUCUUCUAAAUAGGAUGUAAAACUUACUUCAAAUUACUCUUCCUCAGUCCUGCCUUUCAAGAACUCAAGUGUAACUGUGAUAAAAUAACCUGUUCCAGGUAUAUUGGCAGGUAUGUGUGUAAUCUCAGAAUACACAGAUGACAUAGAUAUAAUAUAACAACUGGUAAUGGUGGAUUCAUUUACAUUGUUUAUCGUUCUAUGACCCGGCCUUAAGGGAAGGUCAGUUUUUAAAAGAAACAAGUAGUGUCUUCCUGUCUAUCUCCAGAUACAGGUUAAAAAAAAAAAAAAGUGUUUGUGCUUUAGUUUUGUUUUUGCUCAGUAAUAUAGUCAAGCAACAGUUUGUUUCCAAGUGACCCAUUGAGCUGCGUAUGCAUUUUUGUUUAUUUCAAAUAAAAUAUAUUUGUAUUAUUUGUCAUUCAUACUAUCCAUCCAUACCACACUACCUUCUGUAUCAGGUAGUCUAAUAGAAAUAUACCUGUUUUGUUCUUAAAAUAAAAAAAAAAGGUUAACUAGCUCAAAACAUUUUGAGAAUUCAAGAGUGAAAUGAGAAUUACUUGGAGAGAAAUGUUUUGUCACCAGUAACUGUAGACUUCUUUCUGUUCUUUAAUCAAAAUUCAGGUUUACAAAAUUUGGACAUUUUGAGUUCAGAAAUGUUUAAAUAUUAAUAUACUGAAGAAUUUUAAUGUGUGAGCCAGUAAUUUGAAUAUUGCUUUGAUUUACAGUAAUUUUGAUGAUGUUCAUUUUGGUAUUACACUCACUUAUUACUGAUAUUAACUAAAGUCCUCAUAACAAUUUUAUUUGAAUAUACUACCAUUUUUAAUGAAUAGCCAUACUUUGCAAGAUGUAUAUUAGAGCCUGAUUUUAUAAUGUUGUAAAUUUAUACUUACCAUUUUAAGGAACUAGAGACAAAAUUUGAAGACAAGAUAUAACAAUUUUAUGUAGCAUUGAAAGAUUAAAAGACAUUUUUAGCACACAAAAAAACAAAGUUAUGUCAUAGUAAGCAAUUUUCUUGACUUUUAAAACGAUUGAGUGCUUUAACAUACUUAGUUCUUACAAUUAUUUUGUUUUAUUUACUUUCUGGACUUUUCCUUAGUGAUGGGAGAUUUUGUUCACUGGUAGUUUAGAUUCAAAGCAUUAGUUCAGUACAAUUUCAGGUAGAAAACCUUAAUGAAUUAUUCAUUAAUACCAAUAAAGACAUUUGUAGUUACCAUGCCUUGUUACUGCCACACACCAGCAUUUGUGUACUGAUUUUAAUCACUUUUAUAUGUAGUGAUUUGAUUUGGCCAGUAGAAUUUGAAAAGCUUUGCUGAAAAGUAUUCGGCUCAUUAUAAUCUGAGAACAUAGGCAUUGCAGAUGUAUAUUAAGUUUUAUUAUGUAAAAUGUAUACAGUUACCUCUCAAAAUAGAAACUAAAAUAAUAUUUAUAUUCAUAAUAUUGAAACUAUGUUUGAAUGUUAAUAUCUGCAAAAAAAUUGUGAUCUUCUAAAAAUAUUGUUUUAUGAUAUAAUUCAUCAGCUUGCAAUUGUCUUCUCUGAGCAGAACUCAGAAGUUUUCAUCAAGACAGGUUUUAUUUGUGAGCAAUACAUCUGUUGAUAUUAAGUACAUUAAUAUGAGAAACAUUUGCUUUUCUAAAAGUGGAACAUUGUAAUAUCCAGAUAAUUUUGUUUUGUACUCAUAAGGUUAAUAGAGCCUAUUUGACUUGAGUUGUAUUUUGUUUUGUGAAAUAAAGUAUCUUUCUCCUUU